rfam:Otolemur garnettii contig161053, whole genome shotgun sequence.
AACUAUGUACUUUUGGGGUUUUCAUGUGCCUGCAUGAGAUGUGCCUCCCACAAAUCUUGUUACAAGGUCGGAACAUUACCCGUCUGACA